GGCCUUUCAUUUUCCAUGAUCGGUCCCUAUAUUCGCUUCGUCGGCUUGACCGACUAUGGCGAUAAACAGGCGAUGAAAUAAGCCGUUCGGACCCGGGGGCGGUACCCGGCGCCUCCACCAAAAACCGCUCUGGGUGACGGAGCGGCUUUUGCUGGGGGCGAAAUAGGAUCGACGAAGGUGUAAAGAUCGUACUUUUGCCCGGCAUUGUACCACCGUCAUCGGGCUAAACUUAUAGUUGCCAACGACAACUAUGCGGAAGCUCGUCUCGCCGCUUAAUGCGGUGCGAAC
rnacentral:tmRNA from 1 species